AGCCAGGUUCUGAAGAGCAGUUGGAAGACAGCGGCUCCCAGCAAGCCCGGGAUAGCAUCGCUGAGACCGACGGAGAACAAGAGAGAACGCCGCGGAUCAGGAAAAGGACAGAGGGAGUGAGACAUGAAGACAGAAAGGCUGAAGAGGGACAGAAUGGAGUAGAUUCUCUUCCACCUGGUGGGAUAAACUUUCAGUUUGCUCUGGGAAACCAUACUGGCCUCCUCUCCAAGGAAGACUGUUAAGAAGGCCAAGAAGUCCCUCAAUCUGCCAUCUACAAGCUCAGAAACCAGAAAAAUCAGUGGUGUAAUUCAGUCUGAGUCUGAAAGCCUAAGAAUUGGGGGCUGAUGGUGUAAUUCCCAGUCCGAAUCUGAAAGCCCAAGAACCAGAGUACUGACAUACAAGGGCAGGAGAAAAUGAAUGUCUCAGCCUAAGCAGAGAGAAUGAAUUACCCUUUCUUCACCUUUUUGCUGUAUUAAGGCCCUCAAUAGAUUGAUGGAUGUGUACCCACAUUGGUGAGAGCAAUCCACUUUACUCAGUCUACUGAUUCAAAUGCUGAUCUCUUCUGGAGACAUCCUAACAGACACACCCAGAAACAAGGUUUUACUGGCUCUCUGGGCAUCCCUUAGCCCAGUCCAGCCAACACAUAAAGUGAACUAUCACACUAAUCAAAACCAGCA